GAUGAACGCUGGCGGCGUGCUUAACACAUGCAAGUCGAACGAGAAAUGGAGACGGAAACCUUCGGGCGGAAGGCUUCAUUUCGAGUGGCGGACGGGUGAGUAACUCGUGGGUAACCUGCCUCAUACAGGGGGAUAACAGUUGGAAACGACUGGUAAUACCGCAUAAGACCACAGCACCGCAUGGUGCGGGGGUAAAAACUCCGGUGGUCUGGGAUGGACCCGCGUUGGAUUAGCCAGUUGGCGGGGUAACGGCCCACCAAAGCGACGAUCCAUAGCCGAUCUGAGAGGAUGACCGGCCACAUUGGGACUGAGACACGGCCCAAACUCCUACGGGAGGCAGCAGUGGGGAAUAUUGCACAAUGGGGGAAACCCUGAUGCAGCGACGCCGCGUGAGUGAAGAAGUACUUCGGUAUGUAAAGCUCUAUCAGCAGGGAAGAAAAUGACGGUACCUGGAGAAGAAGCCCCGGCUAACUACGUG
rnacentral:rRNA from 1 species